rnacentral:rRNA from 1 species
GGUUUUUCUGCCCGUUGAUUUUGAAAGGCUGCAGUAAUUUAACUGUACGAAGGUAGCAUAAUCAAUAGUUUUUUAAUUGAAAACUUGAAUGAAAGAAUUGAUAAGAUAUAAAUUGUCUCAAAAAUUGAAAUUAAAUUAAAAGUUAAAAUUCUUUUAUAUUUUUAAUAGACGAUAAGACCCUAAGAAUUUAAUAAAUUAAUUUAUUAUUUAAAUUAAAAUUUAAUUUAUUUAUUUUAUUGGGAGGGUAAUUAAAAAAAACUUUAAUUUUUAGUAACAAUGAUUAAUGAAUUUAAUGAUUAUUUUUAUAGUUGUAAGAAUAAAUUACCUUAGGGAUAACAGAGUAAUAAUUUUGGAAAGUUCAUAUUGAUAGAAUUGUUUACGACCUCGAUGUUGAAUUAAAAUAAAAAUUAAAUGAAGAUAUUUAAAUUUUUAGUCUGUUCGACUAUUAAAAUUUUAC